UACGUAGGGGGCAAGCGUUGUCCGGAAUUAUUGGGCGUAAAGGGCUCGUAGGCGGUUUGUCGCGUCGGGAGUGAAAACACCGGGCUUAACUCGGUGCUUGCUUUCGAUACGGGCAGACUGGAGGUAUGCAGGGGAGAACGGAAUUCCUGGUGUAGCGGUGAAAUGCGCAGAUAUCAGGAGGAACACCGGUGGCGAAGGCGGGUCUCUGGGCCGAUACUGACGCUGAGGAGCGAAAGCGUGGGGAGCGAACAGG
rnacentral:rRNA from 1 species